rnacentral:rRNA from 1 species
UACGGGGGGGGCAAGCGUUGUUCGGAAUCAUUGGGCGUAAAGGGCGUGUAGGCGGUUUGUUAAGUCGAACGUGAAAUCCCCGGGCUCAACCCGGGAACUGCGUCCGAGACUGGCAGGCUCGAAUCCGGGAGAGGGAUGUGGAAUUCCAGGUGUAGCGGUGAAAUGCGUAGAUAUCUGGAGGAACACCGGUGGCGAAGGCGGCAUCCUGGACCGGUAUUGACGCUGAGGCGCGAAAGCCAGGGGAGCAAACGGG